UUUGUUUUUUUAGAAGGGAGAGUGAAGGCGCAAAGGAAGAUGAGGUGCAUUAAGCUGGGCGAUUUGCCCACUUCCAUCAUCUACAGGGUCCCGCCUGGCCUGUAUAGGCUUUUUUGAUCCCUGUUUGAGCGACCUGAGGUGACCGCUGGGUCAACCCUAACCAACGGGGUUUGCGUCUUAGCCCAGCUCCCGUGGCUCUGGGGAGAAUGGUUGUGCGCAGAAGCGAGGGCGCGGCGUGUGUGGUCCACGCGGGAGCAGAGCGUGCAUUCCCCGCGGAGCGCGCCGUCCCGGGCCUCGGCGACCAGGGCAUCGUCCUUUCUUCGCAUCGAGGAGUCACUUGCUUUUGAGCCCUAUGGAUUGUGCCAUGUUGGAACAGCUCGUCACUUCUGGCCUCUGGUAUUGGGAGUCCGAGCCCUUGCAUGGCAGCCUGCUUGGCCAAACUCAAGAAGACCUCAGUUUAGGAUGACUCCUUGGUCACAGGUGCUACCCACCAAUCCCAUCUUCCUUGGGGACCCUAAAGCACCUGCCCAGGACCUUGUGACUCCAUGUAACCUGAAAACUCCAAGAUAAAGAAGUCUCCUUUGGCCCUGAGUAAAUACUUCUGGAAAAGUAGAAGGAAGAGCCCAGGGCUGACGUUGGAACACCUGGAUUUGAGUUCUGGUUUUGCCAUUUAUCAGUUGAAUGACUUUUGACUAAUCACUUAUGUUAUUUAAUCUCAGUUUCCUCCUUGGCGAAAUAAGGUUAGUACCUGCCUCACAAGGUUAUUGCAGAAUUAAACUAGAUGGUGCAAGUGAAAACACUUUGUAAAGUACAAAGUACUAUGCAAAUGUGAUGCAUGAGCACUUUAGAAUAUUAGUCGACCUUUCUCCCCAGCACACUUCUACUUCCUUGUAGACUUUGCCUCCUCUGCACCCAAUCAAUUAAAUUAACUGCCACAGGAAACAGAUGAUACAAAACCAAAUGAAACAAAAACCCAGAAAUCAAAGAGAUUUUUAAGUUUCAAAUCGGGAAGCAAAAAAGCUUAGAUAUUGAUGCAUCCCCCUCUCACACUCUGGGGUUGUACAUGGGCGUGGUGUGGGAGGAGUGGUGAUGAUGGACACUUAGAUGGUUUUGGAGACCUCAAAGUAGAGAGAAUGUGUUGUUGCUUCCUUGUGAAGCUGGGGAGGUAGCAAGCCUCACAGAGUUUCCCUCUGUGUCAAGCAUGAUGCAAGCAACGGUACCAUAGCCUCAUGAGUGUCUAGGCAGUAGGUUGCUACUCGGUGCAGGAAGCAGCCAAAUGUUUUACUGAUAUAUAGAAGUAAUUCAGAGAAAGCCAGACCUGAGCGGCCUUAAAGUCAGGACAGAGUGGAGGUAGCUGUGGCCUCGAUGGACCCCGCCACUCAAAACCACAAGACUAGAGAGGAAUAAAGAUGAGUUACUAGUAUGGAUUGAGCACCAAAUACUCCUUUCCCAUGUAGGGCUUUGGCAUCCCCCCCCCCCCACCUCAGGAGGCCCCUGAACUUCUCUAUUCCCACAAACACACUGAAUGUACAGCUAUACAUAGAGCAAUUCCUUCUGGGAGAAAUCCAGAAACAAGCUGAGUGACUCCUACACAGUCAAAUGAGGAAAUACCCAGAUCAAAACGGGUUAGAAUAGGGUGAGACAUGGUCUCGCCACAAUGCCCACCUGAGCACAGCAUCAUACAAUUAGGAGGGAACCCUCAACUCCUAGCCUCUCCCUGGGUUUGGAUUGUACAUCGAGCACCCCAACCUUUAAGACCCCCACCCACAGCUCCCAUCUCCAAAACACCUAACUUUGAAUGCCAGUGGGACUUGGAUUUACUAGACCUACAAGACUAUAUAGCAAAGUAGUUCUUAUGGGCAUGUGAGCACUCCCCAUGGCAAUCCCUUCUAAACUCAGUGCAAAGGGAGCAGGUGAAAUGUCUAUCUGUGGUCUUUGCCUGGAAGGAAUUUGUACACUUACGAACCGCUGCCUGAGGGUCUGGCUUCUAAUUUAGCACGCAUUCAGGGGCUGGCUGCAAUCCUUCCCAGAACCCAAAAUAGCUGGUUGGCACUACACCCGAUUUUCCCCUCUGGUUCCCUUCAACACGUGUAGUAUGCCAACUUUUACAGUCACCACCCAAGGGAUGGGCCCCCAAAUUACCUAGCUCUGAGAGCCAGCAGGCAUUCCUGAGCCCCACUAGCACCAUAGCAAAAAGGUUUUAAAUAGGACAAGAGUGCCCUCCAGUGGCUAUAAUAAUAAUAAGUAAGUAUUUUUUAAAAAUGGAAAUAAAAAAAUAUAUAAGUAAUACAUAUUAUAACAUAAUAUACAUAUUAUGUUAUAUAUUAUAACAUAAGUAAUAUAUAUUAUAACAUAAAUAAUAAAUAUUUUUUAAAAAUGGAAAUCAAAAAAUAUAUUGAGACAAAUGGGAAUGAAAACAACAUAGCAAAAACUGAGUGCAGCAAAAAUAGUUUCAAGAAGAAGGAAGUAUAUAGAGAUAAGUGCCUAUAUUAAGGGGGAGAAAGGGGGGUGCUUGGGUGGCUCAGUCCAUAAAGCAUGACCUCAGCUCAGGUUAUCAUCCCAGGAUCCUGGGAUUGAGCCCUGUGUCCAGGCUAGCUGCACAGCAAGGAGUCUGCUUCUUCCUCUCCCUCUGCUGUGCUCACUUGUGCUCUCUCUCAAAUAAAUAAACAAAAUAUAUAUAAAAAAGAAAGCUCUCAAACAGCCUAAGUUUACACCUCAAGGAAUUAACAAAAGAACAAACUAAGCCCAAAUUUAGUAGGAAAAGAGGAAAACCCAAAAAUCAGAUUGGAAAGAAACGACAUAGAGACUAAAAGACAAUGGAAAAGAUCAAUGAAAUGAGGAGGUAGGUUUUUGAAAAAAAUAAACAAGAUUGACAGACCUUUAGCUAGAUGGAGAAAAAAGAUGCAAAAAUCAGAGGCAAAAGAGAAGACAUGACAAUUGGUAACACAGAACUAAUGAGGAUCAUAAGAAACUACUGUGAAUAAUUACACAUCAAGCAAUUAGAUGACAGGAGAGCUGGAGACAUUACUAGAGAUGUAUAACCUACCAAGACUGAAAUGAUGUAGAAAAUCUGAAUAGACCAGUUAAAUAAUUUAAACAGUAUUUCAAAGUUUGUUUCAAACAAUAUUACAAAGCAAUAAUAAUCAAAACACUAUACUACUGGCAUAAAAACAGACACAAAGAUCAAAUGGAAUAGAAUUGAAAGCCCAAACAUAAAUGCAUGCAUAUAUGGUCAAUUAACUUAUGACAAAGGAACCAGGAGUAUACAACAGGGAAAGGACAAGUCUCUUCCAUAAAUGGUGUUGGGGAAACAGGAUGGCCCCAUGCAAAAGAAUUAAACUAGAUAUCUAUUUUUAUACCAUAUACAGAAAUCAACUUGAUAUGUAUUAAAGGUUUGAAUGAAAAAUUAAAAACUUUACUUGGAUGUAAAGACAAACAGUAAGACUCAUAGAUGAAAACUGGGGUAAGCUCCUUGACAUUGGUAUCAAUGAUGAUUUUUUAGAUUUGAUGCCAAAAGCAAAGGCAAUAAAAACAAAAAUAAGCAAUUGGGAGUAAAUCAAACUAAAAAGCUUCUGCACAGCAAAGGAAACCGUCAAUGAAAUGGAAAGUUAACCUGUGGAAUGGAAGAAAAUAUUUGCAAACCACACAUCUGAUGAGGGUUAAUAUUAAAAAUAUCAAGGAACUCAUGCAACCCAAUAGAAAAAAACCCAAAUAACCCAAUUUAAAAAUGGGCAAAAGAUCUCAAUAGACAUUUUUCCAAAGAAAAAGGUCAAUAAGUACAUGGAAAGACACUUGACAUCAGUCAUCAUCAGGGAAAUGCAAAUCAAAACUACAAUGAGGUAUCACCUCACACCUGGUAGGUCAGUUUUCUGAAAGGACGAAAGAAAUGCUGGCCAGGAUGUGGAGAAAGAGAACCCUUGAGCACUGAUGGUGGCAAUGUAAAUUGGUGCAGUCACUAUGGAAAACAGUAUGGAGGGUACUCAGAAAAAUUAAAAAUAGAACUACCAUAUGAUCCAGCAAUCCCACUUGUGGCAAUGUAUCCAAGGGAAACGAAAAUUAUCUAGAAGAGAGAUCUGCACUCCUUCACUGUAGCAUUAUUCUCAAUAGUACGGAAACAACCUAAGUGAACUGGCUUCUCCAGGAAAAGCUGCUGUAUUUUGUCAGAGCAGAAAAGACACACCUGGACAUGAUAGCUGAAGGAGGGCCCCACACUAAGGAGGGGAGCCAGCGAAUAAGUGACCAUCCCCUACUGAUUUCCAUAAUAAAAGUACCAUGGCUAUCGCUUCACCCCUACCCCCCAAAUCUCAGACCCACCUAAGACUGGUACCAACAGCCCAAGCAAAUUGACACAAGCAGUGCCAAGAUUUGAUAAAGUGAGGGGGUAGGUACACAGGUGUUUUGUUGCCACCUAUUGUCAUCUUUAUGUUUGAAAUAUUUUAUCACGUGGGUACCUGGGUGGCUCAGUUGGCUAAGCAUGUGCCUUCGACUCAGGACAUGAUCUCAGGGUCUGGGAAUCCAGUCCCACAUUGGACUCACUGCUUGGCAGAGAGUCUGCUUCUCCCUCUACCCCUCCCCUCUGCUUGUCCAUGUUCUCUUUCACACACUCUCUCAAAUAAAUAAAUCAUUUUAAAAAAUGAAAUAUUUCAUCACUUAAAAAUAAUUCAAGGAGGGGUGGCUGGGUAGCUCAGUUGGUUGGGUGUCUGCCUUCAGCUCAGGUCAUGAUACGGGGGUCCUGAGAUCAAGCCCCACUUCAGGUUUCCUCCCCAAGUGGGGAACUUGCUUCUCCCUCUCUC
rnacentral:lncRNA from 1 species